rnacentral:rRNA from 1 species
UACAGGGGGGGCAAGCGUUGUUCGGAAUUACUGGGCGUAAAGGGCUCGUAGGUGGCCAACUAAGUCAGACGUGAAAUCCCUCAGCUUAACUGGGGAACUGCGUCUGAUACUGGAUGGCUUGAGUUUGGGAGAGGGAUGCGGAAUUCCAGGUGUAGCGGUGAAAUGCGUAGAUAUCUGGAGGAACACCGGUGGCGAAGGCGGCAUCCUGGACCAACACUGACACUGAGGAGCGAAAGCGUGGGGAGCGAACGGG